CUGGCGGAGCGCGGGUCCUGACGGACAGCGCCCCGUCCCCCGCCUCCCCAUGGCGGGCAGGCCCGGCCCUCUCCGCCCGCUCGUCCCGGGCCGGGCGCCCUUGCGGCUCGGUGCCCGCUCCCGCUCCGGAGCCGGCGGAGUGCGAGCGAACGCCUCGCUAUCCGGAACGCGCGCCCUCGCAGCCGGCAGGGGAAAGUGUUAGAGAUGUAGCCCGGGCGGAGCAGCGAUCUUCGUUCCGCGGAUUCGUACGGACGGGUUAAUAAGAGUUAAAGCGCGGCUGAGAAAGCUGAGGCACCUGAGAGCCAGGCAGAGCCGGAGGGGAGGGCAGGAGAGCCUUGGCGGAGGAGGAGGGGGCUGAGGAGAUGUCUGCCAUUAGUCAUGUUUAUCCUGACAAGUAGGAGAUCCGUAAGGCAAAUAUCAAAGGCCACGGUAAGCUCGGGAAGUUCAGACUGGUGUGGAUGUUCAGCCUCCCGUUUAAAGACUGCUGAUAACGGUUCUAGAAAUAGCAUCAUCUUCUAGUAGACGCUUUUUUUCUUCUUAAAGAAAAAAGUAUAUCAUCGAAAUGAUAUGCAUUUUGGGAAAGGAGAGGGUAUUAAUUAGAAAAGUUGUUUACUAAUAUAACUUGCCUCCUAGUGCUUUGGCAACAUUGCUUAUGUCUGAAAUAAGCAGAUUUCCCUCCUCCACCUCUUCACCCUUUUUAAUAUAAAAAUGAUAUCUGUAAAACAUGAUUGUAUAAACCAGGCACAAUUCCACCAGUAACCAGGCGACUCGCUCAGGCUGGUUUGUCAUUGUUAAGAAUUAAUAGUAGAUAAUAAAAUAGUGUAUAGCUGUUACAGUUGCUACCAUUGAAAUCAUGUUUUUGAGGGCCAGAGAUUUUGGUGCCAUCAGUAUGUGUUUUUACAUCUAACUGUGUGAAAGUCUCUGCUAGUCUCAAUAAAUGCUGCACAAAUGCUCAUCUUGGUGCUGGAUGAACCAAUGUCAUUUGUUUAUUUCUCCAAGCAUGCAGGGAGAAGGACAAUUCGUGAGAGGUGCUGUCAGUCAGAGCUCUUCCUCUGAAACUAAACUACUGCCGUCCUGCUGCUUACCCUUCUGCAGUGAAGAAGGGUCAAAUUUUAAAGAACUUCGUAGACCUAGAGGCACCAGAAUGUCUUCUAGGGAAAAAACAGGUUCAAGAGGACUAUCAGAUUAUUUGUAUGUAUGUAAACCCUCAAAGCUGUCAAAGCUAUCAGAGAUAUCUGUAUACAAAGCCCAGUGAUCGUGUGUGACCAGAUUUUUAAUUACUGUAAACAAUUUGCCUAUAAUUUUUAUUUUAUUUUUCAUAUUAUUUAGCUAUAAUUUGGUAGUUUGGCAUUGACCAAGACAACUGUGCUGUUCUAUAGCUUGACCUCUCUCCAGGACAGACAAAUAUAUCAACUGCAAAGGGAUAUUAAUGCCAGAGUGUGGUUUUUAUCCUGUGGGACCACAAGGCCAUUGCUAGCUUGGGAUUCAGGCUUGCUGCAGAGUGAGCUCUGGGCAGCCUGGUGAUCAAGUGGUAAUUUCUUUAUCCUUCUCCUAUAACAAAAAUCUUGCUUCAUUUUUUUGAAUAGCAGCAAUUUGAAGGUGCUGAAAUGCUUGCAAUACAGGUGCUUGGAGAUGGAGAUUUUUCAGUCUGCCAGAGGAGAGAAACUAUUUGGACAUCACUGCUUGUAAACAAAGGCAUCUAUUCUCCAAAGCUCUGAGCUCUAAGUGCACUGUGUGAGCAAAUGCCCAUGUCUCUGGAGAUAACAGCAGGAAAUGUAAUCAGCUGUGUCUCAGAGCAAGAGCAACAUUUCCCUCCUGAUCUUGCCUCUGAGAAGUGGUUGUAUCUGCCAGUGUGUUAUCAUUGAUUGCAUGUUUGUCUUCUUGCAGGCACUCCUGGUUUGCUCCUGUGUCAGCAGCAGAUUUCCCCAGUCAAGGUGACCAUGUUACAUUUGAGAUCCCUCAUGAGUGCUGCACUAAUUAACUUUGGUCCUAGAAGGUCAAUGAAAGUGAUGCAGUGGGAUGCUCUUAUUAACCUUAUCCUGAGAGUUACAGUCUGUACUGACACACUUUUGCAAACUCUACUGGGAGAACAAAAAGAAGUGUACUGAAUAAUUCAGCCUUGAGAGUGAAUUGAGCUUGAGGAGAAUUGUUGCAUUCCCAAGUCUGUGGUUUGUGGUUUCUGUUAUUGACUGCUCACAUGGAUUGAAAGUCUUGUCUCUGCAGUCAGUGGUUUUUAUCUCCCCUUCAGAUUCUGCAAUUUUAUCUGGCUAUCCAUCCCUGAACACCAGCUCUGUUCUUGCAAAUAAACACACAAAAACCAUUGAAGGACCUUUCUGCUUCCAAGGGGAGCCAUAGAUAGCCUGCUACACUAAUAAAUCAGAAUUUAACUUUGGAUCUGAAUGUUGAAGAUAGUCCAGUGAAAGUUAAUGGAGUCAUCAUGCUGAGUAUGAGGCACUCUUCCUACUCUCCUCUCCUCACGUGCUGGAAUAUCCAAAUCCUCAGGGAAGGUGAAAGUUUGAUGUCAGAAAAGAACCUCUUGAGAAUGAGGUAUCUUAACUCACCCUGAAAUUGGUUAUUUAUGUUAAAAUGCUUAUGGAAGCCAGACAAUAACAAUAGGAGCUGGUCCUGCAUUUUAUGCAUUGGCAGCCAAUAAGUAAAAAAAUCCAAGUUAAUAUCAUUUGAGAAUUUGUAAAUGCAUAAAAUAUAGAGCCUAUUUUCUGCAAGGUGAAAUGAUGAUGCAAUACCCAUCACUGAAAGUAGCUUGCCCAGAAAAAUGUUAUAAUUGUGAGAAUCUAGCCAGUAUUCAGGACUCUAUAUAAAACCUGAACCAUGCUCAUCAUUUCUUAAAGCCACUGAAUAAAGUAAAUGUUAUUACCUAUAAAGCAUUUUUACCUAGUCCAAAAAGCAGAUUCAUCUGCAGAAAAAAAAAAAUAUAGCCUGAAAAUUGUUGUCACACUGUCUAGUAGAACUUUUAUUUAAUUAACUCUUAUUGACAGUCUCACUGAGUGGUAUAGUUCAUAUAAGUAAAUAUCUGAGCUCAGUCAUAAUGUGGACUGCUGGAAAGCUCUGCUUAUGUGUUUCCACUCAGCUGCUGGCAGCUACAAAUUAACAUUUCCUAACCAAAAGAAAGAAAUUAAAAUGUUUGCUGGUUUUAUGAUGAAUUUUUAAGAAAAUGCUAAGGAAGUAACUUUCAGUGAGGAGGAUAUGGUCCCUUAUCCUUGAACUUUAAGAGAUAACAGAACCUUAACCUAAAAAAGGAAAAAACCCAAACGAAACCAAAGCUUACACCAAAUUCUUAAUAUCCAAGAAAAAAACCCUCCUUUUUGAUUCAUGGAAAAUUAAUGCUUUGUAACUUACAGAUAUAACAUGUGUUUCUGUAGUCAUGGACUUCUUUGAAAGAUAGCUACAUCUAGAAAACAUUUUAAAUUAAUUGACAGGUCAGAUGGGAUCUGCUUGCAAGUGAAACAAAUCCACAAGUCUCCUUGUGGAAGGAUGAAAGUUUUUAUUCCUUUUAGAUCUAUCUUUAGUUCUGAUUAACAUAUAAUCAAAUAAACUGGAGUCCAUCCAGAAGGCAGUUUUAGUUAAAAAUAGUCAGUUAACUGCAUCAAGAAUAUGCUUUCUGCAAGGUAUUCUUGAGGUAGGAAAUAUAGAAAUAGUGUCUGUUCUGGGCUAAAAAUCCCUUUUGCCACAAGCAGGAAUUCAAAUCAGAGUUGUAGCACAUACAUGCACACUGUUUCAAGUGCCAGAACACUUCUGGUUUCAGUUAAAGGGAACAACCCAUGUCCCUAAAGACAGGUGCUUCCCAGUGUGAACCAGGGCUGCCCCUGGAGGUGUAGGGGGAUAGAACAUCAGUAAAUAAAUGUAGUAUAGAAAGCCAUCUUACCCCCUAGAGAGUUGCAGCAGAGCCAGUUAUUAAGGAUUAGGAGCAGGCCUGAUGUUAACAGGCCACAGCUGUAGCCAAUAAGAAGAGUGUCACAAAAGAGUGGGUUGGUUGUUUGUACAGGGAGCUGGAGUCAGUUGGCUGCUGUGAGGACAAGGAAGGGUCAGUGUCUAGAGGAGACGCCUAUGAGAAACAUCAAGGAGGUACAAAACUCUGGAAUGUAAUGACAAUAGAACUCUUGCAGUAUAAUGAACACGUGGAGGAGUCUUGGAAUGCUGCUGUGAGAAUCCUGAGGCAGAAUCCUUUCCUCAAAUCUCUGGCUAAGGAUGACAAACUUACCUUGAAACUGCCCAGCUUUUAUAACAGCUGAUUUGGGCACAGCCUUGCUUCUGGGCAAGGGAAUGACAGGAAUAACAAAUCCCUCUCAUCCAGGUGAAGGAGGAGAGGAAGGAAUCCUGAGGAACAAUAACAAAACCCUCUUAGGCAGGUGAAGGAGGAGAGGAAGGAAUCCUGAGGAACAAUAACAAAUCCCUCUUAUGUAGGUGAAGGAGGAAAGGAAGGGAUUCCAGGGGAACAAUAACAAAUCCCUUUCAUCCAGGUGAAGGAGGGGAGGAAGGAAUCCUGAGGAACAGUGGCAAAUCCCUCUCAUCCAGGAGAAGGAGGAGAGGAAGGAAUCCAGGGGAACAGGAUGCUUUGGCCACAUUGUGGUACCUCGGUGCAAUGUGUGCCAGCCUCCUGCUCCUGUGCAGCCACAGCACCCAGGGCUGGGCAUCAAUCUGCACAAGGACAAAGAGAAUUUUAUGGGAUCUUGGGCAUCUCCCUUCCCAACAGGCUAGCAGACAGCUCCUCUGCCCUACUGCAGUUGAAACACUGGGGGAAUAAAUGAACUGUGCUGCUCUGUGAGAUAUUUUUGAGGGAGAACCAGGUAAGCUGUUUCUUUGGCAGAGGCAUAAUUUAAACUUGUGACUGAGUCCCUUGUGUAAAUGAGUUUUUUCAAUACAUUAUAAACACUUCCAUCAGCAGAAUUGUGUUUUUUUAGAAAUGUAUCUCUUUGUGAUGCUGAGGCAAAAGACGCUGCAGUUUGCUUUAUUUGUUGUAAUAAUAUAACUUAUACCUUAUAACAGCUUUUUCUUCCACCCUGUGAUCACAUCCCCAAACAGCUAGGAGCUAUUUUUCCUUCUCUGAGGAUGUUCUGAUGAAGCUGAUGCUGUGUGGUAGGUCCUGGCCACCUGCUUUACUUGGUCAUGUGAAUGUUUUCCUGAGUCAUACUCCCAAAAUACAUUGUUGCCUAAAUCUAGGGAAAACUGACAAUCGGUAGCAGUUGAACUUUCAUAUUACAGCAGAAUUUGUGUUAAAAAUAAAUCCUCACAAGUGAUUACUUUUUGGAAUACAUGAGUUGCUUGCUAAGAAACCAGGUAAGCACCUAGUUCACUGUGUGAGAAGGGUUUCUCUUGCCAUUAAUUACUCCGGGAACUAAACCCCACACCAAAACACUACAUAGGAAAUUGAGAUUAAUGUUCCAUACUUUUCUGGCUAAAUAUUGUAGCUGUCAAAGAAAUGUUCACCAGCCUAUGUCAGCUGCUGUUAGCUUUCAGAGCUCCUUCUUCUUUAGGCACUGACGUUUUCAGCUCUGUUCAACCCAGGAAUAUCCCUGCAGCCAGAAGAGUUAAGGUUGCUUUAGCAAGGCAGAGGGCACAGGCCUCAUCUAUAAGUUGUUCUCUGGGCCAGAACCUGUGGGAAAAAAUAUUUUCUGUGAUGAAAUUACUCCUGGCCUCACCUUUCCCAAUGUGAUCUAUGUGAGGUGCUGUUUUACUGAAAUCCUGCUGUUCUGGCUGCUAUGAAUUUUGAUUUUGGAACAGUGCCUGCCUUUGGGAGAGGAUUCUGAACAGCAUUCCAGGUGGCUGCUGGAGCCCACCUUUGAGGGGAAAUGUAAAGUGUGGUGCUGGUCCCAGUGUUCCCUAGGGCUGUCUCUGCAGUGGUGCUUGGAGUGGUUGAUGCCAGCAAUCUCCUUGGUCAGUAACAGAGCUAGUUUGAAUUCUGCUGAGGUGUGUGCCUGACUCCAUGGAUUUUGUUUGAAAUUCAGUGGCCUCUUUCCCCCAUAUUAGCAAAUAAAAGGUGAAGAAUGCAUAAUCCACCCUGUACGUGUGCUGGCUAGAGCAGGGUUUGUAUGCUUGUGGGGAGAAACAAACAGAAUGAGUUGACAAUGUGAAGCUUUUGCAAAAAGAGAGAAAUGUGACUCUGCAGUUUAUGGUGAGGAAUAUUGCAUGAAAGACAAAAAACAUAAUUGUUCUGAUUUGAAAUUGCUGAUGCUUCAUCUAACACAAGUUUUGGAUACUGCAGUUUCAGAUAUAGAUGAGUUGAAGAGUCUCCAGAAAAAAAGAAAUGAAACAAAAAAUAAUCUUACAAAGCAAUGAUUUGUAAGCAUUUCCUGUGAGAAAAAGCUAAAAGAAAUAGGCUUCAUAAGCUUUUCUAAAAGAAAAUGAUGUUAUGAUUGUGGAAAAAAUUGUUGGGUUUGUAGUCAGGUUUUCUGGCUUCUUCAAAUAGAAGUUGAGUAUGAUUACACAGAAAAAACAGGGCAAAAUAU